rnacentral:lncRNA from 1 species
AUCCAUAACAUGACAUGCAUAUAAAAUUUCAGCUCAUUUGGAUCAUGGGAAGAUGGUCAAUUAAAAUCAGAAAGUCAAAACAAUUUCAAGCAUGCACAAAGAAGUCAAACAAACAUGUAUCAACUUCAAAAAAUCAUAACUCCAUGACAACAGAUGAGAAAUGAAUGGGAUCAACACCAAUGCAAAGCUUAAGAUGUCUAGUAUGCACAUGUAAAAUUUCAUGAUCAUCCAACAAAGUAUGAGAAUUUCCCAAAUGGAAUGGCAAGAUGUAUCACACAAAGUCAACAAUUGACUAGGCAGGGGAGAAAAAUCUCAAACAAUUAGGAAAUGGCAUAAUUAAUUCCAAGAAAAUUCACACAUAAACUAGACAUAUACAAGUAGGUUCAUGCAAAAUUUCACAUUAAUUGGAGGUCAGGAAGCAUGUCAUCAAAAAUCAUGAAAUUGCAUAUCAAUGGUGUGACACAAAUUGUCACACCCUAGUUCAAAAAUUCACAACUCAGCAACCAAAUAAGAUAAAUUCAAGAACUCUAUAUCAAAAUCACCAUGGAUGAGUGUAGAUUAAGCACAAA